UGGGAUGUCUCACAAAAGAACUUGAGGAAGAGUUUGUUUUGGCUGGAAGGACAGGGCAUCCUGUCAGGAAGUCCCCAGCAGGAACCUAGGCAGCUUGUCACUUUGUAUCUUGAAGAGGGCUGAAUGCUGGUGCUCAGUUCAAUUUCUCUUCUUUACUCUGUCCCCACUUCUGGCCACCGGAUGGUAUGCUCUGCCUUCAGAACGGGUCUUCCCACCAUGCUGAAAUCCUCUCCUUCUCCCCCCUUCCCCCUCCCCCUCCCUCUCCCCCUCCCUUUCCCUCUCCCCUCCCCUCCCCUCCCUUCCCUCUCUCUUGCUCACUCUGCCUUCAGAAUGGAUUUUCCCACUGUUCUGAAAUUCUCUCUCUCUCUCUCUCUCUCUCUCUCUCUCUCUCUCUCUCUCUCCCCUCUCCCUUUCUCUCCCUCACCCCUCCUUCUCUCCCUCUCCCUUCUUCCCUCCAUCUCCCUCCUCCUCCCCCCUCCAGCCAACGGAGAAUGUACCCACUCAGCUUAUUCCAAUAAGCAGCUGGAGUUUCAUUCCACAGGGAAACUGGGCAGUACUUAAAAAUAGAUGACUCAGAGAAUCCUGAGAAGGCCUGAAGACACUGUAGUGUUUGUAUACCAACCCCUGAGAUCCAUCAGUAGGCCAGUUGGAAGCAUGGGACCAUUUUUUUUGUGAGGUUCUGAAGCUGGGACAGGAUGGAGGGUGGAGGGAAACAGUCUUCAGGGCAGGCAGACACUGACCCUGGCAGUAGCCAGGGCACAGUGAGAGGCUGGACACUUUGAAGUCUGCUGUGAUCCUCUAGAAUUGUGUAAGUGUAUCACUCAAUGUGUAGGGAGGGAACAGCAUCUGCCCAGGACACCCCAAGAUCAAGUUCUUAGCACAGAGGGAACUUAUUUGCCCCAGAAGGUCAAAGGGCAGGGGAUAAGAGGCAAAGGCAGGAGGUAGAGGAGGUGGGAGAGGGGAAGGGAGAAAAGGAGCAGGAGAAGGGGUAUUUGUUUUGGGAGGGGACAACACCAAGUGCUGUCUCUGGAUAGACAGGAGACAGGUGUGGCCAUAGGCAAAAUGUCAAAGGGGAAAUCUCAUGUUACAGUGAGGUGUGUAAUUUUGAUUGGGCGGGCUAAUUAGGGCAGCCAAAGGGGGCUUUAGAAUGCUGGACUUCAAUAUUUUGAUAGGGGGACCUUGGUGGUCAGCCUUAGGAGGAGGAGGAAGUGGCCAAAUAAGGAAAUAGACCUUGGUGGCUUGCUUCAGGAAGGUAAUCUAAAGGGUUUUUGUUUGUUUUGUUUUGUUUUCUAGCAUGGCAGAGGGAGUGAGGGAGAAGGUCCCCGCUGGGGCUGGCGAGAGUCCCUUCACAGUGUAUUUUAAUCUCCCAUCCUUGUUUUGCUCUCCCCUGUAUGUUGCUUUGUUUGGAGUGUGGAGGCUCAGUCUUCAGGGUCCAAGUCAAUCGCACAACAUUACCCAUGGACUCAGUGACGAGCACACAUCCGAGGACUUGGUGUGUACUUCAUUUGAAGGCUUCUGUUACUCCUUUAAAAAACACUGUAAAGGGGUUGGGGAUUUAGCUCAGUGGUACAGUGCUUGCCUAGGAAGCGCAAGGCCCUGGGUUCGGUCCCCAGCUCCGAAAAAAAGAACCAAAAAAAAAACCCAAAAAACAAAAAACAAACAAACAAAAAAAAAAAAAACCACUGUAAAAUCCUCAAUGGAGUUUAUUUGUCCCCCAACCCCAACCAUUUAACUAUAAAACAUCGUGUUUGUCAUAUAGAACCCAAAGGUGUUCCCUGCGUCCCCGCUCUUCUCUGUCCCUACCACUCCUCCUGCAUGGCUAUAACUUUUCUUCCGGCUGCCCGGUUAAUCUCUGUGACCCUGGACAUAGACUUGGUCCUUACUCGGUCCUGGGUGGGACAGUUUUUACAGUCACAUUUUGAGCAUUUAUACACAUACUUCAAGUAUCUGAAGGAAGGAGACUAACUACACAGUUUUGUAAAUGUCGCCUGUCACUAGAUCUCUCCUUCACGUGAGUAAACACACACGCCGCCUUUCAUUUUUGCACAAGUUGGAAUGCACAGUGCCUUUCCCAUUUCCAUUCGUACUCUACCCACCAGUGCCUACCAUGCUAGGCUUCUGUCAACAAGCUAUUUUACCAUCUUACGAUAUUUAUUAUUUGUGAGGCAGUUAGCCUGUUGCAUAAGUGAACUAAGUUGGGACUUCUACGUUACUUUUUUCUCCUACUAGAUUUUUUUUUUUAAAAAUGUUUGGAAUUUAACAUGUUUGAAGUCUGCUCAUUCUUACCUCAGUUGUGCAUAAGCCUCUGACUCUGAAGCCUAUGAAUGUUUGAGUCCUGAGGUUGCUACUAUGGCUUUCUCCCUGGGGGGCAGAUGUAACAUUUACCCCUUUGCCAAAGGUCUGCCCCCCUUCUCCUUCCCCAUUCCCCCUCCCUUUUCCCCUUUCCCCCUCCCCCCCUCCCCCUUUCCCCUUCCCCCUUCCCCUCAUGCUCCCCUUCCCCUCCCAGGACAAACUGAGGGACGAUUCUCCCAAGUUAACUCUGGAGAACCAGUUCCCUUGCAGAGCAUGUGUGUGGGGUUAUUUAUGGGAUGUGGGUGUUCCCGGCUGUGUGUAAUUAGGACAGAAUUGCAUACAGCUGGAUGAGAGGAAUGGCCGGAUCUUCAGGUGAUGGUUCUCUGACCUCCCUGCCCCCUCCUUCUAUGUAAGGAGCAGGCUCUGCUGUGGAGAUCUUUUGGGAAGGAGGCCCAGCAGAGCUGAGAGUGACAGCAGCGUGGCUGCCCUGCUAUAAAGUUACAGACAGAUCGGACCUCUGGUUUAUUUGUAAGAACAGAUCCAAAAGAACAGUGAAUGGCCGGGCAAGGCUCCCUGCCCUGCAGGAAUCCAUGCUUUCUUGUUACUCCUUUAGAGCUGGGCAGGGCAGAAUUUGUGAGGCGCCAGGACAGAUUUCUGCUCCAGCCAUGAACCUGCAUCCCAGCCAGCAGAGAGGAAGGAAGACAGGUAGCAACAUAUGCCAACAUAUUCAUGAGCAUAUUCCCAGGGUAAGCCUGGUGAACAUACACAACAAGCUUUGCAGUGUAACCAUUUUAAGUGUGUGAUUUAGCGUGUUCUCUGGAUUUAAACAUGUUCCCCUUGCUGUGCGACCAUUACCAGUGUCGAAUCUAGAAUUCUUUUUAAUCCUCUCAAACUCCAGUAAAUACUCUUUCUCUCUCUUCAGCCCCUGGCAGCCACUCUUCCUCUGUCCUUGGGAUCUGACUACUAUCGGGACUACUCAUGAAUGGAGUCCUGCCAGCAUUUGUGUAUGGCUGGCCCAGUUCAUGGUAGUUGAUGAAUAUCAUGACAUCAGUGUUCAUUUGUCAUAUAGGCCAGGAUUCCCUUUGCCAGGCUGAGUACUAUUCCAUUGCACACGUGUACUUUCCAUGGACUUGCUGGUAGAUAGUUGGGUUGCCUCUUUGCUUUUCGGUUCUGUGAAUAAAGCUACAGUGAGCGUGAACAUAUGGAUGCCCUUUGUUCUCCCUGAAGCUGUGUCAUUUUGUAUUCUCACAAGGCAGGGCAUUUCUCCACUUCUUACCAAUGCUGGUUUUUUAAGUUGUUUUUGCUUGUUUGCUUAAAGGGCAGCCUCACGAUGUGUCUGGGAGGGCACCACAGGGUGGUUCUCACUUGUACCUCCCAAACAGAGAGUGAGGUGAGCAUUUUGUCCUGUGCCUGUUCACUAGUACUAGUUCCUGUCCCUGGAAAGAUGUCUGUCCGUUCAAUUCAUCUGUUCAUGGUUUGACUGAACUGUUCUGUGUGGCGUAGAAUGGACUUUAAUUCCUAUCCAAUGUGUGCUUUUUUCCCAUCUUCUGGGUUGUCUUUUCAUUCUAAUGAUAAUACUGUUUGAUACACAGUUUUUUCUUGAUAUAAUCCAAUCUGUACUGUCUCUGGCUCUGGCUCUGGCUCUGUCUCUGUCUCUCUCUCCCUCUCUCUUUCUCUCUCUCUCUCUCUCUCUCUCUCUCUCUCUCUCUCUCUCUCUCUCUCUCUCCCCAACAGUGUCUCACUACGCAUCUCACGCUGGCCUUGGACUCCCAACCCCAGCCUCCCAACUGCUGGGAUUACACCACACUUCUGCUCCUCACCCAUGGGCCAGACCUUAGUCACAGGGAAAGACUUAUUUGCAGGAAGAUGGACAAAUGUCAGACUGAAAUGGUUGGGACUUAGGUAAAAUGUUUGGACAUCGGUCAAAUACUAAGGCACAGAGGGAAUGUUAAGGCCUGGGUGACUGUUCCUGGCCAGCCUGCCAUUGUAAGGAAACUUCCUCAUGGGUUUCUGCUGUUACUAGGAAACUUUCUAAUGCUGAGAUUGGUUACACAUUUUGCUAUGUUCUGUGCCCUUGGAAAACUAAACGAUAGCCAUCAGCAAACCCCCUAUCCCUAAAUCCUGAUUGCAGGUUGCUGUCCCUACGCAGGUGAGGGCAGUUGAAAUAUAAGACUAGAGCCUGUGAUUGGACAAUGAAAAAGGUGGGCGGGGCUAAGUUUUUCAGAGAUUCAGGACAGGGGACAGGGGACAGAGAGGACAGAAGAACAGAGAAGAUGGAGGAAGAAGACAAACCAGACUCAUGUGGCUUGAAUAGCCAUGGCUAUCAUGGGAGGGAUAGAAUAAUACGGGACAAGUUGUCCGAUCUAGGCGGGCAGCUCCUAUCAAUAUCAGUUGGCUCAGAGUUCAUUGCAUAGACAUUCUGUGAGCUGAGACUUUAGCGUUUUGAUUUUACCGGGUUAUGGGGAUUUAUGCUAGCUAGCCACAGAAGUUGGAUGACUGAGAAAACAGCAGUCCAGCGGCAAGCAAACCACAGGAAUGGGGGCUGGAGGGUAGCCAGGGAUAGCAUAAUUUAGAGUGAUUCAUUUUUAAUAAUUAACACCUGAUUGGUGAAAUAACUUGGCACAGAUGUUUGUGAAUGCGUGUAGAAUUUUAACUCAACGUCAUAGGUCAGUAGAAUUUUAACUCAACGUCAUAGGUCAGUUCCUGAAUGUGAACCAUGGCCCUGACUGACCAGUCCUGGGGUGUAGGCUUAGUAAACUGUCUCUUUCUGACUCAGAUCGGUGGUUGUGUGAUUUGUGAGAUGACUCUUGGAUCCUAACAGUCCCAACUGCUUUGACGCUUAAAAUCAUUUCUUCUCACUAUAUAAAACAGUGCCAUGAAAUAAUGUGUAUUUAGAUCUCUAAAUUAAUUUUGAGUGACAUAUGCAAGUGAUAUACUUCUGAAUAGAUAUUCUAAUUAAGCGACUGUCUGAUAGGGCUAAAUAUAAAAUGAAUGACGCCAGAACAAUUGGCUUCCCGGAGCCCAUAGAUCUGUUGGGGCAGCAAUGAUCUUGCAGCUAAGUCUCUGAUAUAUUUCCCACUACUCUACUUGGCUGUCUGGGGGAUUCUGUUUAUUUAAAUUCUAUUUAUUUCUGUAAAUAUAUGUAUGUAUAUGUGUAUGGGUAUGUCCCCGUGAGGGUAGGGACAGCUGAGUCACUGGCGGCUUGAUUUCCUCAUUAUUCUACUUGGGAUGCCAGAGGGCUUUAAUUGUGUGUGUGUGUGUGUGUGUGUGUGUGUGUGUGUGUAUGAGCAUGUGCAGGUCCAUGUGAGAGUAGUUGCCUAAGCAAGUCAGAAGAGAGUGUGAGAUCCCCUGGAGCUUGAAGUGCAAGUGGCUGUGAGUUGCCCAGUGUGUGUGCUACAGAUUGAACUUGGGUCCUCCGGAAGUGUAGUGCACACUCGUCACUGCUCAGCCCCAACUCCAUUGCACUACAGGACUUUUUUUUUUUCUUCUUUUUUUCGGAGCUGGGGACCGAACCCAGGGCCUUGCGCUCGCUAGGCAAGUGCUCUACCGCUGAGCUAAAUCCCCAACCCCAGGACUUUUUUAAAGCUAGAAUUUAUCUGCUACACUUAACUGUCUGAGCGUCAUUUCUAAUAUUUUACAGUGUGUCUUUUCCUAAACAAAUGGUAUAGACUAUCAUGGCCUUUGGCCUUAUGUGGAGACAUGGGUCACACUUAGCUUGGUUCCUGGUUGAUUGUCCUGUGGGCUUUUGUUUGUUUGUUUGCAGCUCAGUGUAUGGCCCUGGUUUCCUAGAAGCACCUCUGUGUUGGAGUCAUGUUUUGCACACCAUGUGAAGGUGUGUCUCUGGCCUUCUUUGCCGGCCUAAGGUGUUAUAAAAGCCUAUGGCCUAUAGCAAAAGGUGGGGUAGAAAGCUGGGAUGUCUGGCAGAGAGAGGAACUCUGGGAACACUGGGACUCCAAGGACGUUGGAUAAUGAAACAGAGGUGACCAACCGCUUGGCCGAAUUUAGCUUAGCAUUAUUUGGGAGCUGGGACGGGCAUAUAGAGUUACUUCUCCACAGUCCAGGCUGAACCUGAACUCACAGACCUUUGUGUCUGCGCCUCCCCAGUGCUGGGAUAAAACAUGUCCACCACCGGUGCUCAGCCUUUCUCUUCGGGGUUUGAUGUGGGAAUGAGUUUGAAGGACCCACUUGGGGGGCCUUAUCUGUGCUGUUAAAAUUAAUUUAACACUAAGUGGAUGUUAAGUCACUAAGCUGCUACCAAAAUCACUCUAUUUGAAAUCAUUCGUGUAAGCCGGGCUGUCUGUCAUUCCACAGGACAGAUAGACAGGAGUUUCCGCUGAGCUGGGCAAGCGGCAAAAGCAGGGAAAACAUCUGCAGCCUUUGUUCCACUUCUGAAAGUGUGUGCCUCCUGAUAGUUCCUCAAGUCUUUUUCAGACUCUUGAAAUCAUGUCUACGAAAACCAGUUUGCUUUAAAACAUGAGGCAGGAAAUGGAGUCGGUGACUGGAGAAACAUAAACAAGACCACAGACCUGGUCAUAGGUUGGCAGUCGUUAAAUCGGUGGCUCGGUCGAAGAGCAUCUCCUAUUUUAUCCUUUCGUGCAAGUUUGACCAUGGUGAAAAGUUUACACUAAUAUGAACGGAUCCUGUUCUCUUCAUGUAAGGUUCUAACUGAUGGGCUUUUCUGUCAGAAAGGAGAAGUGGUCGUAUGGACAGUGGAGCACAUGCACCUUUGUCAAAGAAAUGUCUUGAAGGAGACCAGAGCUCCAGCACAAUGUGCGGCACCCUGGGCUGGGACCAGGGACAUGAACUCAUAACCUCUGGGGAACUGUCCAAGGGGUGAAGACCUGUGAGGAAUAUGGUUGCCAGACAGCAAACUGUGACAGGAGCUGUUCUCAGUCCCCAGCUUUCAUCCUCAGCGUUUCCCCCAGGAUUUGGAUGUCACCAUUUCUUUUCAGGUUCACAGUUACACACACACAUGUCUUCCACUCCGCUGGGAUCUCACUGUGUCAUCAGCCACUCCCUCUCUCUCAUGCUCAGCCUUUCUGACCACCAGCUCCUGUCCUCAGAGCUUUCACUGCAGAUUUUCCAAAGUCCCAUCUCCCUCAAGAUGACUCAAAUCUUUCUCGAUCCCUUCUUUUUUUUUUUUGGUUCUUUUUUUCGGAGCUGGGGACCGAACCCAGGGCCUUGCGCUUCCUAGGUAAGCGCUCUACCACUGAGCUAAAUCCCCAGCCCCUCUCGAUCCCUUCUUAAGCAGUGCCCUGCUCCCAUCUCCAGCUGUCUUAAGUCUUCAGUCAGUGGACUUCUGCAACCAUCGUAUUCUUCAAACUACAGGGAUUAGAAAGCACAAAUUGCCUAUUUAACUAAUUUGAUGUCUGCCUUAAUCUGAUUGCCUUUCACAUUUAUUUAUUUGCUUGUUUAUUUAUUUAGUGUGUGUGUGUGUGUGUGUGUGUGUGUGUGCACGCACAUGUGUACACACGUGUAACAGAGUGUAUGUGUUGAAGUCGGAGGACAACUUUCUGGAGUAGCCUCUGGAGAUCAAACUCAGGUUCAGGCUUGGGUGGCAAGCACCUUUACCCACUGAGCCAUCUUGGCAUCAUUUGACAUAACUGACUUUCCAAAGAAACCAGAAGUUUCCACUUCACAGGGUCCUGCCCAGCUACUCGACUUCCUCACAAGCUGUGCUGUUUAAUGCCUCUGCCUUCAGAACUCAAUUCUUGCUGCUUGGAUAGAUAAUACAGUCCUCACCUUUUCUAUCCACCGUCACCUCAGCCAUCACUUUACCUGGGAAACCUUCCUUGCUCCUCCUCAGAAGAAUUAAACACGUUUUCUUUCAUUCCUCUGGGCAUUGCCGUCAAAAGAGUUUGUUAUUCUUUGUUUUUGUCUGUCUACUUUUCCCAUUAAAGCUUGAACUCUUUGUGUAGGAAGCAGAUACUAUUCACCUUUCCUCUGUAGUAUUUAGCAUGAAACCUAGCACAUAUGUGGCACGUAUUGUUGAAUACAGAAACGUUUCAGAGUGGGAGUGGUGGCUCAUACCUUUAAUCCCAGCAUUCAGGAGGCAGAGAUAGAAGGAUCUCUGUGAGUUCAAGGCCAGCCUGGUCAAUAUUGCCAGUUCCAGAACAACUAGAGCUACAUAGAAAGACCCUAUCUCAAGACAAACAAGAGACAUUUAGAGGGAAAAAGAGGAGAAAAGAGGGGCUCUUGGGUAAUUCCCUUUAUUGUAGGGCAUAGUAAAGUAUUGUUGAAACAGAUGGCAUACCAUGAAGUUGAGUAUUAUAACCCUUUGAUUGUGGUCUAGUCAUGGAAAAAUAAAUCAAUAGUCCCCCUGACCAGGCCAGUGUCUAAUAUACAACACAUGGUUAAGAAAUGUUCCAAACAGCUGCUUCUUCUUUGGGAAAAUAACAAACAGCAGAUGACGCUGCUGUAGCAGAAGGGCCUGGAGGACCCAGGAGCCCAGGAUUAGGAGGCUGCUGUGGCUUCCUUUGGUCUUAGGGGCUGUGGGACUCAUAGAGGUAAAGCCAAAGGCAAGGAGUAGAUCCUUCUCCCCAAACUGGGCCACCUGGUCAACAGCAUGAAGAUCAAGUCCCCGGAGGAGAUCUCCCUGCUCUCCCUGCCCAUUAAGGAGACUGAGAUUACUGACUUUUUCCUGGUCACAUCCCUAAGGGGUGAGGUUCUAAAGGUCGUGCCAGUGCAGAAGCAGACUGGAGGUGGUUACCGGACCAGGUUCAAGACUCUCAUGGCUAUUGUGGACUACAGUGGUCAUGUCGAUCUUGGCGUUAAGAUCUCCAAGGAGGUAGCCACAGCCAUCUGAGGGUCCAUCAUCUUGGCCAAGCUUUCCAUCGUCCCCAUGUAGAAAGGCUACUGGAGGGACAAGAUUGGCAAGCCCUACACUGAUCCGGGCAAGGUAACAGGCCGCUGUGGCUCUGUGCUGGUGUGUCCCUGCCUGCGGUGGCAUUGGCAUCUUCUCUGCUCUUGUGCCAAAGAAGCUACUCAUGAUGGCCGGCUUGGAUGACUGUGUACAUUAGUCAGGGGCUUCACUGUCACUCUGAACAACUUCCAAACAUACAGCUACCCAAGCCCCAACCUCUGCAAAGAGGUUGUGUUCACCAAGUCUCCUCAUCGGCAAUUUAUUGACCAUCUUGUGGAAACCCACACAGUGGACCCAGCUCCAGCCGUGGCUAACACAUAAGGGCUUUUAUAUAAGAAAAAUAAAGUAAAUUAAGCCUAUGGGGGAAAAAUGUGCUAAACAAAGGAUUUCAUUUAUGGUGGGAUAAGGAAGAGACCGGAGUCCAGGUAGAGUUCAUUAGGAAGGAGUUCCUUGCAAGGAGCAACAUCAAGCGCACAAACAAGGAGCUAGGACCAUAGCAAGUUGGAGAAACAAAUAAAGAACAAUGGGUGAAUGAACAUCAGAGACGGUAAGGAAAUGCAAAUAAAGACAGAGUCAUAUUAACUGUGCACAGCGAAAGACGCCAUGGCUCAUGCCUGAGUUGAUGAAGACCUGGGUCAAGAGGGGUGUCCUCAAAUAGGAGAGAGCUCUAUGGAAGAUGGAGAUGCUAGUGAACAAUUCCAUAAAGAAUGGAGGGAAAGGAAGAUUAAAAACCUCAAAGAAGGGGCUGGGGAUUUAGCUCAGCGGUAGAGCGCUUGCCUAGGAAGCACAAGGCCCUGGGUUCGGUCCCCAGCUCCGAAAAAAAGAACCAAAAAAAAAAAAAAAAAAAAAAAAAAACCUCAAAGAAACGACUAGAUUUAAAAAGUCCAGAAAGCGAUCUGGCUUGGCAGUAAAGUGAAGCAUUUGACUUUUCCAGUGGUUUUAUAAAAGAUCCACACGGGGUUAGGAGGCAUUGUGACCACGUUAGAAACCAAAGCAAGUUAAGCACAGUCUUUUACAAACGCUGUGAUCAUUGUUGUGUGCAACCUAGAAAGACCAUCAUGGUCCCUCCACCCCCAAUAACCUUUGUCCCAAUUAGAAAAUAAUGGUUAAUGCAAAACCAAAAAGAAACCCACAUAAAGUUGAAGAAAAAACCCACAAUGAAAGGGAAACAACCAACACAUCUUUGGAGGUAUUUCCCCCUGUUGACGCUGUUGACUGUAGAUACUGGUGGCUUUCUUACUGCCGUUAACCUUAGGUUUUAAAACGUGGUUUAAAUAUGGAGAACAAAGUGUUUGUUCCAAGAACAUUUAAAGAAGCUCAGGAAUGUGUGAAUUUACCCAGAACCUUCCAAUCCCAACCCUCCCUCAGUUCUGUCUAUCUCUGUCUUCUACGGGAUCCACUCUUAACAGUGUUGAGCAUAUUUUUGGCCCAUGAUUCCACUCAGAGCUAUUUUUAAUGUAUAGAAUACUAUUUAUGUAUGCGGUCACCAUCUGCCUGUCUAUUCAGUCUAUCAGCCCGCCUAUCCACUCACGGACCAAUUGUAAUACUGUGUGGGGUUCAUAUCAUGGAUGUGUCAUAACUUAAUAGUCAGUUGUUGACUGUCACAUCUGGGUGGUUUUCCUCUUUUUUUCUUGUAUCUGACAAAACUAUUAUAAAGAACAGUCUUGUCUUAAUUUUGAGAUCAUUGGGAAUGCAUUUUAUGUUUCACGUUAAAUGUGCUUGCCUAGAUAAUGCCUUGUCAUGGUAGAGGGGACUCUGUGUCGAGAUGACUGUUUUCCUUAUCCAUAGAUAUAUAUAAUGCAAAGUCCUGGCAAAUGCCUUUUGUUUCUUUUGAGUUAAUAUUACUUCCUCCCUAGCUAUGUAACAACGACUAGCCCUUACUGCUUGCCUGGUUGACCCUUCUUGGGUAAUUAGCCUUUUAAUAAUAAACCAUUGAGUUCUAUCUGCACACUGUUUAUGACUUCAGUUCUUUAUUCCUUUGUUGGUAUUUUUUUUUUUUUUGGUUCUUUUUUUCGGAGCUGGGGACCGAACCCAGGGCCUUGCACUUCCUAGGCAAGCGCUCUACCACUGAGCUAAAUCCCCAACCCCUUGUUGGUAUUUUUAACCUGACUAGGAACUGUCUCCUGGAGGCUUAAAGUCUGUGUCAUUGAGAACAUCAGAGGCUUGAAAGCAGGCACACACCCAGUGGCCUAGGAAUCUGGGAUGCCUUCUGUAAUGAGCAACUGUUUCAGUCCUUAUUAAAAAUAGGGAGGAAUGGGGUUGGGGAUUUAGCUCAGUGGUAGAGCGCUUGCCUAGCAAGUGCAAGGCCCUGGGUUCGGUCCCCAGCUCCGAAAAAAAAAAAAUAGGGAGGGAGAGUCCCCAUCUUAAGUUCUUAAGGUCUUAAGUUAUCCUGCUGCUCUCUCAGGACUCCAGCUGGGAAAAUGGGAAAUGGAGAGGCCCUAAUCAGCACUGGGGCCCUUCCAUCCGAUCCACAGAGCCCAGACCAGUGCAUCUCAACCCCCCUAAUGCCGUGACCUUUAGUACAGUUCCUCAUGUUGUGGAGACCCCCAGUCAUAAUAUUAUUUUCCCUACUACUUCAUAACUGUAAUUUUGCUACUUUUAUGAAUCACAGUGUAAAUAUCUGAUAUGCAGAUGAUCCUAGGUGCAAGGGGUGUUUGGUCCCCCAAGGCAUAGUUGAGAACCCCUUUCAGGGGAGAGGAGGUUGCCAUUCAGCAUGAGGACCUGAAUCUGUAGCCUCAGUAUUGAGGUAAAAAUCUGGGUGAUGUGCCAUCUUCCUGUACCCCAAGACCUGGGGAGGUAGAAACAGGAAGGAAUUGCUGGCCAGCUGGUCUAGCUGCUCAUUGAGCUCCAGGUUUAGCACGAGAGGAUCUCUCAAGAAAAUAAGGUUGAGAGCAAUUAAACAAGACACCCAACACCAAUAAAUGGCUUCAUGUGCAUUCUCAAUAUAGUCAAGUACAACUGCAUGCAUGCACACGCGCUCACGCACUCACACUCACGCACGUACGCACGCACACAUACUUGCAAAUAAACCACAUCUAAUCUAUUUGAAUAUCUUAUAUUCUGAGCACCUUUCUAAAAUAGAAAAAAAAAAACUUAAGCUGAUUCUUAUUGGCAUUUUAGUUUUUAAAAUUAACUGGGCACUGAUGGCACACGCCUUUAAUCCCAGAACUCAGGAGGCAGGGACAAGCAGAUCUCUGUGAGUUCUAGGACAGCCUGGCCUUCUGAGCAAGUUCUAGGACUACCGGGGCUGCACGGAGUAACCUGGUCUCAAAAAACCAAUCAACCAACAAACCAACCAAAACACCUACCCCCAACAAAACAACAACAAUCAAAAGAAUUAACAUGAAAGUGUGUUCUUUUCUGACACCCCUUUCACCAAGGUAAUACAGGAAAGUAAAAUUCUUCAAAAUUCUCUGAUGCUUGCUGUAGUGGUAAUACAUUCUCUCUCUCUCUCUCUCUCUCUCUCUCUCUCUCUCUCUCUCUCCCUCCCUCCCCCUACCCCUCCCUCUCUCUCUCCCUUCCUCCUUCCCUCCCUCCCUCUCUCAAUACUUAUAUAAUUUAUGCAAUGCUGUCAUUAUGAGAGCAGGAAGCUUCAGGCUUGCGUGCUUCCGAUAACAGUGUGGCAGGAAUGCUGUGAUGCCACCACCAUGUGAUGACAGUGCCAUCGGUGGUGACUCCCAUUUUGCUGGACUCUUAUUUCUUUCCUAGCUCUCCCGCAUGGCAGACUGCUAAGAUAGAGCUGACACAUGAUGCAGAAUUAAGGGUACUUCCUGCCCACAGCCUGCAGGGAACCAUGUCCUAUUAUCAACCCCAUGAGGAAGCUUGGAGCAACAGAAAAAACAACCAAGAUGCUGUUGUGGUGGUGCUUUCCUAAAAGCCCAGCGCUUUGAAGGUGGAGGCGGAAUCGUCCAAGGUCAUUUCCACUGUGUGGUGUGCUUGGGGGCGACUUGAAUUACGUGAGUUCCCGUUUUAAAGCACACUAGGCUUCUAGAAAGUCUUUACGUUCCCAGCCUGGCUAGUGGAGAUGACUGUAAAUAAUUCCCAAGAUUUCAAAACCGACAUCUGAUUUUGAGUACUUUGGGCACUGUGUAGAAAUUCAUACCAGAAAUAAAUGCUCUGUUCUCUCUCCCCGUCUUGGUCAGUAUUCUUUUUCUAAAGCAGUCUCGCUUCCUGACACUGCCUGUAUGCAGAAGCUGGCCACGGCUCUGGCAGACUUCAGCUUUUCCACCGUAUCUCUGCUCUACGAACAUUUUUCUUCUACGACAUCGACAGUUCUGCUCACAGGUCAGCAGCAGCAGCAGCAGCAGCAGCAGCAGCAGCAGCAGCAGCAGCAGCAGCAGCAGCUCCAUCCACCCACAAACACUUCAUGGAUACAGCAGCAGUCCAGUUCUGUGGCCUUGGGAUAGCAACCAUGAAUCAGCAGUGGUGGCACUAUCUAACAGAGACAGCCAGGCCCUCAGCUUCUGCUUGAGUCAAAAGGGACCAAAAGGAAUGGCAAGGAAAGUUCUAGGCUAUGCCUCUCUCAGCUAAGCAAAGCAUGGGUUCCUCUGAAAACUCCACCUUCUCAGAGUCGGACUCAUCCGGACUCUCGGCAUCUCGUGGGUUGUCGUCAUCAGCAGCUCCAGCCAAGUCACGUGAUCUUCACGGAAGCCAAGUCCACAAAGCUGCGGAAACAUUCUGAUACUUUACUACCCAGUCUCUGCUGGUACCCAGACUCCAGUUCUCCAUUAAUUUUCCCAGUCUUCUUCCCCUGUUUGGCAGAGAGAUACUGAUUUGUGAUGGCCUGUAACAAGACCACCUGAGUGUUCUUUCCUUCACCCAUAAGUCUCAGAAGCUUCUGUUUUCUCUCUUCAUCGCCUAAACCCACUGCUCUCCAAUGGCUAGAUCCAAGAUCACUGACAGUUUGGCUAUAAAUUUGGGAAAAUGUUUAUUUGUAGAUCUAUACAUAAACCUUCUGGACUUGGAAAUUAAGAAAAUGCCUUGAUGUUUUUAAAUCGAUGUUUUGUCUGUGUCUUUAACUUGUUUCUUCUCACCUUCGAGCAUUACAAAAAUAUGGAUGUCUUGUUACUAAUGAUGCACCAAAAAAUUUUAAUUCUAUCUUCAUUUUUUUUUCAGUCUGAAUAGUAUUUCCAAGGUAUUUCUAAUAAACACAUACUUGAAGUUCAUAUUCUUUCCCUUUUUAUUAUCUUUAUCACUGCUAUGACUUUGGACUAUGUUUUUAAUUUACCUUCUUGAGUUCUCUAUUAUUUUUAACUGUUUCCUUUUUGAAAUGUUUACCUCUGUGCUGAAGUUCUCGUUCCCUCCUACUUUGUCUCCCAAUUUCAACUGACUGUAUUUUCUUGGUUUUCAUGGAGUUUUUAAAUAAUUGUUAACAUAUUUCUCUCAGGUAUUUUAUUUACUUUUAGUGUUUUGGAAUCUUUCACUAGAGAGCUACUAUGAUCCUGUGGAGGCAACAUGUUAUCUUUUAAAAAGUAUUUGUUUCCUUACACGAGACCUGAGUCCUGCAAACCUGAUGAUGAACCAGGCAUCUUUGUUCCUUUUUAAUUUCUUCUGUGAGUUUCUUAGUGUGCAGCUCUCUCCUGAAGAUGUAUCUUGAAGUCUCUCAGCUUAUGCACUGUUGGUUUUGAUUCCAGCUGGUACGAUAGUCUCAUUUACUUAUCUCUUCUUGGGCUAUGAUUGGUGAGUUUUACAACAGUGCAUACUGUGGUAUAGUCAAGGAGACCCACUGCCUCAGAGACCUUCAGGAAAGCUAGGAAGAUGGCUUAGAAGGAGCACUUGCUGUGCAAGCAUGUGGUCCUGAGGUACAGUCUCUGGCACUCCCUGGAGUGGCUGCAAGUGCUGUAACCCAGCAUCAAAGGACAGAGACAACUGGAUCAGUGAUCCUGCUCACCACCUAUCCUUGCUGAAAUAGCAAGCUUCGGGUUUAGUGAGAGACAGUUUCUUAGGAGUAAGACAGAGGGAGAAAGGAAGACAUCCUUCAUGUGUGCAUGCAUAGGUAAGUGUACAUACACACUCCACUAACAGAAGAGGACAUUCAAACUGUUAAGGUAGGAGAUGAGUAGAGAGCAUUAGAUCUGGGGUCCUUAUGGUGUGGUAUGCCUGCAGUAGGAUGGUGGCCCUUGUCGAACAGUGACACUCCCUUGGACUUCCUUGACUCUAGCUUUGCUACUUCAAAGGCCUCCGGCACUGCCCACAUCAGCAGUGGUGAAACGCCUUCCUCCAACCAUGCGGCAGGAAGAGCCCACAUCUUUUGUGAGGUAGCAGGAACCACAGUACCCUCAGGUUGUCCUCAUAUUCAGUCCUGAGAGCAGCAUAUAGCCAGACAAUGUAGACAGGGGCGGGGGUAGUAGAAAGGGAGACAUUCAUCUCUGUUGCGUCAGUGGUACCUCCCACCUAGAAUCAGGAUCUUGGCCAGAGCCAGGAAACAUCCUUACUCCCCGACACCAGCUGUGUGCAUAGGCAGGGACUGGGCCACAGCUAGAGCCAUAAGUUCUCCAGCCCGUGUGGCAUUUCAUGGAACAAGGUUAUUGCAGGAGUCAGGGUGUUGUCUCUAAUGAUCAAAACAGAGCCUUGCCCAUGGAGCAGGAGGAAGGAAUGGUGAGAAGCACACAGGUGGCUGCCUUUAGUUCCAGCUCGAGGAGGAGUCCACCUACAACUGUUGUGCCCUCCAUCUCAGCAAGUUCCCUGCCGUCCUGAUUCUUAAGUAUGGCACAUUCCAGUUCCUCUGUCACAUUUCCCAUCCUGUGUAGGAUAGCCAGUGGGUAAAGCCAAUGUAGCUCUACAGGCCAGGAUUGUAGUCUGAGGCACAGCCUCCUACGACCACACAGUGGGCUCUCUGGGCUCUCAGAGGUGAGGUAUACAGGCUUUGUGACUCACAGAGCCAUCUAAAGCCAGACAACAUUCUCUUUCUCACGAUGGCCGUCUGGCAGUAGCACCUCAGGGUCUGAUGGGAGAGGAUGUCUGACACACUUCCAAAGCAGCGUUCCUGUGCACAUUUCACGUUACCUGUCGGCACUGGCUGUGGACCGAUGGUUAUCACAUGGUUUUUCUGUACCUGAGAUUGCAGCAAACACACUGACAGAAUUUGUGGGGGCUCUCAAUCCUCACCAUUUGCCCGAGAGGUACUUCCCGACUGCUGGCUAUUGAAAGAGCUGGGGGUAAUUUACUUUUCUUCCUGUGAUAAUUUCCUGAGGUCUCUAAAUCUUACAAGUUUUCAUUCUCUGCCUCUGUCUCCUAGCGUUCUCCAUGGGUCACUCGCCAUGUGGUGGCCAGCCUGAAACUUUGGUUUUGUUUUGUAGGAGAAGGGGGUGAGUUCUAGGCAGCUGUGUUCCGCCAUCCUGGAACUCUAGAGCAAAUAUAUCUUUUUGCUAGUGGCUUCUGAGUCUUGAAACAUAUUUAAAGACUCCCUGGUCUGUAUCCACAGACAUGGUCACGUGUUUUCUUUUCUUUUCUUUAUACCAUUACUUUCUACAUCAAGGUUUUAUUCCGCCCCAAAGUUUCCUGGCAUUGAGAUUGACUUUGUAUUAAGCACGAGCUAUUAAUUUAAUUAUGUGUAUUUUUUCUAAACGGGCACUCAUUUGUCUGAACAAUGUGUGCACUGGGUUUUUAUUUUGACGUCUGGAUCAUUUCCCCUAGCCAGAGCUAGCCUGUUAACAUUCCGGCUGUGUGGCUGAGCAGAAGGGAGAUGACUUGGAAUGUAGGAGCGGGGCCCGAGGAGAAUGAGAGUCUGGGCCAGUGAAUCCCUGGAAGCCACCAGAAUCAGCCGAUCUGCUUGGAUCUCCUUUAGACGCAAUAGAUUGCUUUUACAUGACUCAAUAGUUAUAAUCAGUAUGAGCUCCACUCUAGAAGAAUCUUCUAGAAAGGAACAUGGCCUAUUGCUGUUCCCAAUGAUGAGGGUUCUUCUGUGUUAUGCUGUCUAGUUUAUAACAUCACAUCUGUGACAGAGUCCUAGAUUUCACACGAUUUCUUUUUUUACCAUGUUUUCAAAUCCCACCUUUAGCUAUUGUAGGAAACCCUUCCAUCAAAGAUAGUAGUAGACAGGAAAUCCUUUUCUUGUCAGACUCAGGACAAGUUCUCCGACCUCUUUGCCGGGCGUUUCUUAGGUUCUCAUUUGUUUCUUGGCAAGGUGCACAUGAUUCUUUUAACCUGUGCACACUCCCUGUUUGUCUGACAAAUGGGGCUGUGUGUUUAUUCAGCCUUCAUUUACUCUACAUAGUUUCCAAUGGGCUGAACUGCUACUGGGAGCCUCAGCGCCACAACGGGAGAUAAGGACGGCCAGUGGAAUCUUCCUAAUUUGAAAUUGUUGAGGUCGGGGGUGUGGGAAAGCACUUUCUGGGGACCCUCUUUAAAAUCACAUAUUAUUUCUUUCUACACAGAAUAUUUCCCCCCUAUUUAUCAGAUCCAACAUAUUUAUUGGAUCUGUUAGAGCUGUGAGAACAUGGGCUCAACCUGAGACAGUUUAUCCAUUCCCCCUAAACUAGCUGUAUUAGUUACCUUUUGUUGCUGUGACAAAACACCAGGCCGGAAGCCAGUUAGGGUUCCGGAAUCUGUAAUCACAAAGAAGGCGUGGCCACAGGUGCUCAGAGCAGGAGGCUGGCUGAUCGCAGUUUCUCACAGGAGAAGCUGAGGGAGUCAGCUGUGAGAGAGGUGAGGCUCUAAGGUGGUGACUCUCAGCCUCCCUAAAGCUGCGACCCUUUAAUACAGUUCCUCAUGUUAAGCAGGAUGAUAUUCCAUUGUAUGACUAUACCAUGCUCACACAUCCAUCCAUCAGUUAACGGGCACAGAGGCUGCUCCCACUCUCUGGCUACCAUGAAGAGCAGCUAUGAACAUGGAUACGUUGUCACUGCUGUUGCUAACUGGAUUCUGCUGAGCUGAACUGCUGGUGUUAUCAGUGAAGUGCUUGCAAAGGAUCGAGCUGCUGCCGCCAGAUGACCUGUGAAUUGAACUGCUGAUUUCCAGACAACACAGACUGGAGUUGCUUCAGAGAACCUUUCUAAACAGGACACCUGACGGAAACAACCUAAAGAAUGAAGAAGGGUUUGUUAUUGUUGUUUGCUGUGUGAGAGAGUACGCCGGCUGCUGCUCACAUGAUCCCAGCUGUUAGGAAGUAGAGACAAAAACACUGACUAGAACCAGGGCCAGACUGCUGCCCAGAAGGCCUGCCACCCCAGGGAUCACUUCCUCCCGUGAGGCUCCACCUUCUAAAGGUUCCAAAACCUUCCAAGCCAGCUGCCAGCUGUAACCCGAUGUUCAAACACACGAACCAAAUGGGGGUGUCGAAUGGCCAAACCAAAACACGAUUCAAGUGAAAAACUGAAA